rnacentral:rRNA from 1 species
UACGUAGGCAGCGAGCGUUGUUCGGAAUUACUGGGCGUAAAGAGUGUGUAGGCGGUGCUCUAAGUUCGGUGUGAAAUCUCCCGGCUUAACUGGGAGGGUGCGCCGGAACUGGAGUGCUCGAGCGUGGGAGAGGAAAGCGGAAUCCUGGUGUAGCGGUGAAAUGCGUAGAUAUCAGGAGGAACACCUGCGGUGUAGACGGCUUUCUGGACCAUUGCUGACGCUGAGACACGAAAGCGUGGGUAGCAAACAGG